rnacentral:rRNA from 1 species
GAUGAACGCUAGCGGCAGGCUUAAUACAUGCAAGUCGAGCGAGAAGCAUUCCUUCGGGAGUGUGGACAGCGGCGAACGGGUGCGUAACGCGUACACAACUUACCUCUUAGAAGAGAAUAGCCCCGGGAAACUGGGAGUAAUACUCUAUAUUAUUACACAUUCGCAUGUUUGUGUAAUGAAAGCUCCGGCGCUAAGAGAUGGGUGUGCGUCCCAUUAGGUAGUUGGUGAGGUAAAGGCUCACCAAGCCAGCGAUGGGUAGCGGGUCUGAGAGGAUGAUCCGCCACACGGGCACUGAGACACGGGCCCGACUCCUACGGGAGGCAGCAGUAAGGAAUAUUGGUCAAUGGAGGAAACUCUGAACCAGCCAUGCCGCGUGCAGGAUGACGGUCCUCUGGAUUGUAAACUGCUUUUAUAUAGGAAGAAAACGCCCGAUUCAUUGGGAACUGACGGUACUAUAUGAAUAAGCACCGGCUAACUCCG